CAGUCGCCACGGUAACACCGAGGGUGCGAGCGUUAAUCGGAUUUACUGGGCGUAAAGCGUGCGUAGGCGGCUUCUUAAGUCGGAUGUGAAAUCCCUGAGCUUAACUUAGGAAUUGCAUUCGAUACUGGGAAGCUAGAGUAUGGGAGAGGAUGGUAGAAUUCCAGGUGUAGCGGUGAAAUGCGUAGAGAUCUGGAGGAAUACCGAUGGCGAAGGCAGCCAUCUGGCCUAAUACUGACGCUGAGGUACGAAAGCAUGGGGAGCAAACAGGAUUAGAUACCCGGGUAGUCCCUGUCUCUUAUAC
rnacentral:rRNA from 1 species